rnacentral:rRNA from 1 species
GUACUCCGGGGAUAACAGGCUGAUACCGCCCAAGAGUUCAUAUCGACGGCGGUGUUUGGCACCUCGAUGUCGGCUCAUCACAUCCUGGGGCUGAAGUAGGUCCCAAGGGGAUGGCUGUUCGCCAUUUAAAGUGGUACGCGAGCUGGGUUUAGAACGUCGUGAGACAGUUCGGUCCCUAUCUGCCGUGGGCGCUGGAGAACUGAGGGGGGCUGCUCCUAGUACGAGAGGACCGGAGUGGACGCAUCACUGGUGUUCGGGUUGUCAUGCCAAUGGCACUGCCCGGUAGCUAAAUGCGGAAGAGAUAAGUGCUGAAAGCAUCUAAGCACGAAACUUGCCCCGAGAUGAGUUCUCCCUGACUCCUUGAGAGUCCUGAAGGAACGUUGAAGACGACGACGUUGAUAGG